UAGGGAAUCUUCCGCAAUGGGCGCAAGUCUGACGGAGCAACGCCGCGUGAGUGAAGAAGGAUUUCGGUUCGUAAAACUCUGUUGUUAGAGAAGAACAGCGCAUAGAGUAACUGUUAUGCGUGUGACGGUAUCUAACCAGAAAGCCACGGCUAACUACGUGCCAGCAGCCGCGGUAAUACGUAGGUGGCAAGCGUUGUCCGGAUUUAUUGGGCGUAAAGCGAGCGCAGGCGGUCAAUUAAGUCUGAUGUGAAAGCCCCCGGCUCAACCGGGGAGGGUCAUUGGAAACUGGUUGACUUGAGUGCAGAAGAGGAGAGUGGAAUUCCAUGUGUAGCGGUGAAAUGCGUAGAUAUAUGGAGGAACACCGGUGGCGAAAGCGGCUCUCUGGUCUGUAACUGACGCUGAGGCUCGAAAGCGUGGGGAGCGAACAGG
rnacentral:rRNA from 1 species